rnacentral:lncRNA from 1 species
GCUAAAAUGAAAUUUCCAUCAAGUAAGAAAGUAUCUGUAACGUGUUGGCAACUUCGGGUUUUGUCUGUAUAUAUACAAAUUGACUAUAAACCUGAUGAUGGGUGUUUUUUUUCAUAAGAUGUCAUUCCCAUAUUGCCUUCUGCUUCAAAAGAAAACAUUAGAUUUUCCCUAUUAGAAUUGUUCAUAGAAGUUAUUAACUUGUACGACAUUUUCACAUUAUUUUCAUAAUAUUGUAUUCUUAGAUAUCAUCUGUUAUAACCUUUUAACGAUCUUUGGUAACUUACUUUUAAUUUUCCAACUAAUGUUUGGCUUCAACGACUUCUUUGUUACAUACUGUAUGUAUGUACCUUAUGAUUGAUUUAUAUGUGAUUGUCAGGAGCUAUAUAUGUGUCGUCAUGUACAUAUAACUACAUAUCCAAUUCGUAUACAUAUAUA